GGAGAGGGAGAAAGAGAGAGGGGUGGACCCUGCUGGAUGGAGAUUCUGUUUUCUCCUUGCUAAAAUAGAAGUGAUUUGCAGGCUUUCCCUAUGGAAUCCAGUUUGACUCUCCCCAGAGCUAAACACAGGCACACUAACCCCAAAGGGAGGAGGCGGGGCUCGCGCCUCACGGCCCCGCCCCUUCAUUUGCAUAACGCCAUCCUUCCGCCAAGCUGCAGCCAAUCGCGGCUUAAGAAGCCUUCUGGCUUGCCGCGCUGGGCCACGCUCCCUCAUUAACAUCCCUCUCCGGGUGGCGCAGGGGAGCUAGCCAAAGUUCCUCGCAAAGUGGCGAGCGAAGGAUCGCUGAGCACCAGCGUCUGUGCUGGGAAGGAGCUGGGCACAGCUGGGCAGAGCCGGGCUGGAGAGGGGAAACAGACGGAAGGGAAGGGCGAUAUUUUUCUCAGGGAUUUGAACUGGGGUCUGCAUCCUGGUCGUUGCGGUCCUUUUAGCAUCCUCGCCACGCCCUGAGCGCGCUCGCGGUUCACAGGCUGCGCCCUCCCAGGGCCGAUGCUGCGUCCUGCUCCGCUGUUCUGGGACGUCGGGGGCAAAAGUGGAGGAGACGGGAGAGCCCGGGCAGAAAAAGCAGGAAGCGCGUCCCAGAGGAGGAGCUGAGGUUUUGAUUUGCCCGUGGCGUGUGGCUAGCAAGCAGUGGGGCUUGACUGUAACCCAGGAGCCACACUGCCUAUGAAAUUAAGAAAGCUGUCUGCUACCUCACUUACUUCUGUCAACCAAUUCCUGGUUUCUCUCUUCUCUGGACACCCAAAAAAGAUUAUGGCCCUCUCUUUGAAGUUAGUGUGGUCAUCUGACUUCGUUGAGCCAGAGCAUUUCCUUAAAGGAACAAAGAGGAAAGAGUGACUAGAAGAUUCUAGUGCAGAGUUGGUCUGUGGAGAACUGCUGUAUGUCUUACUCCUGGGCCAUUGCUAGACUGCAUUUCUCAACAUCCCUAGCAGCUGCUUUGGCUAUAUGACUGAGUUCUGGCGAAUGAAAAGUAGGUGGGAUUGAUGGAAGCCAUUUUCAGAUAUAGUUCAUAAAAACCUCCCACACAGUCUUGCACUCGUCUUCCUCCCCUUCUGUGGACUAAUCAGAAAAUCCAAGGUGAUAUUCCAAUGCUAGGGCAGGCUUAGCAAAGGUUUUCUGUCAAGAUCCUGAUAGGCAAUAUUUUAUAAUUCAUGAGCCUGUUGCAACUACCUUAGUGUGAGAGCAGCUACAAAGCACAGGUGAUACAUGAUGAAUCGGUGUGGCUGUCUCAAUAAAACUUUAUUUACAAAGAAAAAAUUUAUAAAAACUCUAGAUCAGAUUUGGUCCAUGACUCGUAGAUUGCUGACCCUGCUCUAGGAUAUGUCAGAAUCACAACAUAGAAGGAUUCUGGCCCCUAAAUGACUGCAUGGGGAAGUAAACUUUAUACAAGCAAGAAAUAAACUUCUCUUAUGUUAAGUCAUUGAGAUUCUAGGGUUGUUUCAGCAUUAGCUUACUCCAAUACUGUUGGAGGAGGUUAUCGAGGGGACAUGACCUCAGGUUGACCCAACGAUCUGAACCUGGGCAAUUGGCUCCUCCUCCCCUCCCCUGCACUUCAGAUGCACAUUUUGCAUAGCAUUCCACAGUGGGCACUGUUUUCAAAGAUGCAGCUUUAAGAGAACAGUGUGCUGUUGAGACCAUCUGGACAGUAUAUGUGACUGAACCCAAUUAAGGUCUCUAUAUAAACUUUUAAGGUUCUGGCGGGCACGUGCAGAGAUUUACCUGUCUUGUUACCUGCCAAGAUGAGCCUCAUGUGUAAGUUCCCUUGCUUAUUAAGUCUGCCACCAGAAAUCCAAGAAUGCCACCACCUACCAAGAGUGGUCUUCCUCUUUCUUCGGUUUUUCCUUGCCCUCCACGUACAGAAGCCAGGUCCAGAUUUAAUUCAGGAUGCUCCUGAGGUUUCAAAUCAACAGAAAAAAUACCUGGUCACAAAGAUGGAUUUUUAUAAAUAUUAGAUUUCCCCUUCUUCCUUACAUUCCUUUGAAGACAGGCUUAUUCAUUUGUCAUAGAAUCUUCCCAAUACAUGUUAGUGAGACAAUUAAAA